AACAAGUGAAGCACAAACUCAUGCAAAUUUCUGGGCAAGGCAGGUUGCAAACAGCAGUAUAUGUUCAACAUUGUCAUGUAAUUAUCAUAACAGCAUCAAGCAAACAGCAAUAGUCAUGAUCAUCAUCGAACCAAACAAAACAACAGCAAUGUAGCAUAGCAUAACAGCAUUCAUCAUUAUCAUGUUAUCCAACAAACAAACAACAGCCAAU
rnacentral:lncRNA from 1 species